GGUUAAGCGACUAAGCGUACACGGUGGAUGCCCUGGCAGUCAGAGGCGAUGAAGGACGUGCUAAUCUGCGAUAAGCGUCGGUAAGGUGAUAUGAACCGUUAUAACCGGCGAUUUCCGAAUGGGGAAACCCAGUGUGAUUCGUCACACUAUCAUUAACUGAAUCCAUAGGUUAAUGAGGCGAACCGGGGGAACUGAAACAUCUAAGUACCCCGAGGAAAAGAAAUCAACCGAGAUUCCCCCAGUAGCGGCGAGCGAACGGGGAGCAGCCCAGAGCCUGAAUCAGUGUGUGUGUUAGUGGAAGCGUCUGGAAAGGCGCGCGAUACAGGGUGACAGCCCCGUACACAAAAAUGCACAUGCUGUGAGCUCGAUGAGUAGGGCGGGACACGUGGUAUCCUGUCUGAAUAUGGGGGGACCAUCCUCCAAGGCUAAAUACUCCUGACUGACCGAUAGUGAACCAGUACCGUGAGGGAAAGGCGAAAAGAACCCCGGCGAGGGGAGUGAAAAAGAACCUGAAACCGUGUACGUACAAGCAGUGGGAGCACGCUUAGGCGUGUGACUGCGUACCUUUUGUAUAAUGGGUCAGCGACUUAUAUUCUGUAGCAAGGUUAACCGAAUAGGGGAGCCGAAGGGAAACCGAGUCUUAACUGGGCGUUAAGUUGCAGGGUAUAGACCCGAAA
rnacentral:rRNA from 1 species